rnacentral:lncRNA from 1 species
UGCUUUGCUGUUGUUAGGUUUUGCUUGUGGUUUUCUUUCUGGUGCAUCUCAUGGUUCUCUCUCUUCCCCAAAGGUUUCCAACAACUGUGACUCCAUUUUCGUGAAUGGGAAGGAAAUGAAGAGUAAAGUGGACACAAUAGUGAACUUCACCCACCAGCACUUUACCUCCCAGGUGGAAGUCACUGUCUGGGCGCCCCAACUCCCCUUGCAGAUUGAGAUCUCAGACACAGAGCUGAGCAGAUCAAGGGUUGGAGGAUCCUGGUGGCCUCCAACAGAAGGCCCACCCGGGAAAGUGAAGACGAGGAGGAAGAGGAGAAGAAGAGGCGAGGCUGCUCCCUGCAGUACCAGCAUGCCUUGGUGCACGUCUUCACCCAGUUUGUGACUGAGUCAUCUGACUUGGGUCAGCUGACCUAUAUGUUGGGCCCAGACUGGCAGUUUGACAUCACUGACCUUGUGACAGAGUUCAUGAAGGUGGAGGAGCCCAGAGUCGCCCAGUUACAGGAUGGCAGGACCCUGGUUGGUCGGGAGCCGGGAAUCACCACUGUUCAGGUAUAGGGGGUUCAUGUUUUGCCACCUCUCCAACACCAGUACCUGCCGAUGAUGCAGGCAAAUGCUGCCAUGGAGGGGUGUGCACAUGUGUGAGGGUGAUUGUGCAAAUGUGCAAAUACCGAGUCUUCUUGUAACAGAAUCAUGAGAAGCAAUAGAGUAUUCACCAAUUUUAAUAAUCUAAACACAUUUUGUAUUUUAGAGAGGGUUGAGAAAAAUGCCUGAUCUGUUUUUACCAGAGAAAGCUAAAUGAAACACACAAUGUAAGUCACCCUUUUCCCGAUAUGACACUAUUUUUUUUUUAAUCUGUUCUAGGAAGUGGUAGAACCUCUGAAAGCAAAUUUCUCCUCAACCUUGACAUUUAACCAUUUAGCUAUAUUAUACCUUUAACAGUAGGCAAAGAUUUUUUAAAGCAUGUAUUUGGCUAUAAAUCACAAAGAAUCCAUAGUUAAAAGCUCUCUAUUUUCAUCAUAGUAAUAGUAAAAUAAUUUCUAACUGAUUUUGGCAAGAUAAAAAUAAAAAAGUCACAGCUUGUUUUAUUUUUGCAAAUUUAAAAUGUUACUGCUCAUAGUUAAUUAUGUCUUAUUUUAGGUGUUGCCAAAGUUAGUUUUCGACAAAGUUGAAUUAAAUAUGUAACAUUCUAUAU